rfam:Pteropus alecto contig81979, whole genome shotgun sequence.
GGUUCCAUAGUGAAGUGGUUAGCACGUCUGCUUUGCACACAGAAGGUCCUGGGUUUGCACCGCAGGCGGAGCCA